ensembl:snRNA U1 U1 spliceosomal RNA
AUAUUUACCUGGCAGAGGAGAUAACAUGAUCACAAAUAUGACUUUCCCACAGCAUGGCUUACCUAUUGUACUCCGAAUGAGAUGAUCUCUGAAAUUUCCCCAAAUACUGGGAGACCAAUUGUACAAUUUGUGAUAGUCAAGGGUUGUAUUUCCACUUUCCCUAG